rnacentral:rRNA from 1 species
GUUAAGCGACUAAGCGUACACGGUGGAUGCCCUGGCAGUCAGAGGCGAUGAAGGGCGUGCUAAUCUGCGAUAAGCGCCGGUAAGGUGAUAUGAACCGUUAUAACCGGCGAUACCCGAAUGGGGAAACCCAGUGUGAUUCGUCACACUAUCAUUAACUGAAUCCAUAGGUUAAUGAGGCGAACCGGGGGAACUGAAACAUCUAAGUACCCCGAGGAAAAGAAAUCAACCGAGAUUCCCCCAGUAGCGGCGAGCGAACGGGGAGGAGCCCAGAGCCUGAAUCAGCAUGUGUGUUAGUGGAAGCGUCUGGAAAGGCGCGCGAUACAGGGUGACAGCCCCGUACACAAAAGCGCAUGUGCUGUGAGCUCGAUGAGUAGGGCGGGACACGUGGUAUCCUGUCUGAAUAUGGGGGGACCAUCCUCCAAGGCUAAAUACUCCUGACUGACCGAUAGUGAACCAGUACCGUGAGGGAAAGGCGAAAAGAACCCCGGCGAGGGGAGUGAAAAAGAACCUGAAACCGUGUACGUACAAGCAGUGGGAGCACAGGUUUACCUGUGUGACUGCGUACCUUUUGUAUAAUGGGUCAGCGACUUAUAUUCUGUAGCAAGGUUAACCGAAUAGGGGAGCCGUAGGGAAACCGAGUCUUAACCGGGCGUUAAGUUGCAGGGUAUAGACCCGAAACCCGGUGAUCUAGCCAUGGGCAGGUUGAAGGUUGGGUAACACUAACUGGAGGACCGAACCGACUAAUGUUGAAAAAUUAGCGGAUGACCUGUGGCUGGGGGUGAAAGGCCAAUCAAACCGGGAGAUAGCUGGUUCUCCCCGAAAGCUAUUUAGGUAGCGCCUCGUGAAUUCAUCUCCGGGGGUAGAGCACUGUUUCGGCUAGGGGGCCAUCCCGGCUUACCAACCCGAUGCAAACUGCGAAUACCGGAGAAUGUUAUCACGGGAGACACACGGCGGGUGCUAACGUCCGUCGUGAAGAGGGAAACAACCCAGACCGCCAGCUAAGGUCCCAAAGUCAUGGUUAAGUGGGAAACGAUGUGGGAAGGCCCAGACAGCCAGGAUGUUGGCUUAGAAGCAGCCAUCAUUUAAAGAAAGCGUAAUAGCUCACUGGUCGAGUCGGCCUGCGCGGAAGAUGUAACGGGGCUAAACCAUGCACCGAAGCUGCGGCAGCGACACUAUGUGUUGUUGGGUAGGGGAGCGUUCUGUAAGCCUGUGAAGGUGUGUCGUGAGGC